GAGCCGAGGUUGGGGGGACGGGGUGAUGGUGCCCUCUGGAAUGAGUAUGAGCUGGGGACUGAGGAGACCUGGAUGUGGGGUGCGGAGCGCUGUGGCGGGAAGAUCCAGGCCGAGUUUUGCCUGCUCCAGGAGGGAAGCUAGAAGCCAGAGUGAGGGGCUGAGCAGUAAGGUGGGCACUUUAGGAGACAGAGGUGGUGGAGAGAGACUCUGAGCAUUGGAAUAACAAGGCAAAGGGAACCCAGCUGCAACCAGCAGAACCGGCACCCUAAGGUGAGCCCCUUGGAUUCUUGCCCGAUUUUCUUCGGCUAUUUACGCGCCUAUCUCGGCCUCUGUGGUCCUUACCUAUGAGGUGGGCAGCCGGGAACCUGGGGCUGAGAUCUGUUUCUUCAUCCUCCUGUUUCUCCUCCCCUUCCUCCUCCUCCUCCUCUUCUUCCACCUCCUCCGGCAGCUCUUGGGACCCUGGAAUGGUGAAGAGUCCAUGAUCGGGGGUGGGUGGUCACCCAUGCAUGGACCUGAGAGGACAGAGGACGAGGGCCCAGGAAUGGGGGGCCUGGAUUUCUGGAGGAGGAGGCUAUCUGGAGAUGAGGAUGGGAGGUGGGGAUCCGUCCGGCAGGGAGGGAAGGCUGCUCUUACCCAGUUGUUGCUGGGUGUGUCCCCCUCGGUCAGUGGUCUCCGUUACCUGGGUGGGUGGGGUCACAGUGCCCAGAGUUCAGAUUCAACUCGUGUCCAUCAUGUCCCUCCCAACAUGGACCCGAGCUCCAGGUCUCGGGUUUCCCCCCAGCCUGACCUCCAACACCCAUCUGCCUGGGAGGAAGAGCAAGCAACGCAGAGAGACCAAAGCCUGAGCUGUGUUUGAGGAAGAAGAGGGGAGAGGCACAAAUAACCGGGAGGGGGUCUGGAAACAUCAGGAUGAAACAGCAUCACAGGAAUGUGGAAUGAAAUCCAGCUAAAGGACAGAAAAGACAUCCCCACCAAGGACAGAGGAGGCUGCUGUGCAGGAUGAGAUCCCUCUUGAGGGUGGGAAAGGCAAAGUCAAGCCACCCAGUGUUGGCAGCUGAAGGUGGCCUCAGUCUCACCACUGACUAGCUGAUUCACUGAGGGAUGGAGAUGAAGCAUUGCCUCCUUUCCUGGGAGGAGUAAAGACAGGAGAGAGAAGAGGCCUGCCCCCACCAUCAAGAAGCUUCACAAUCUAGGAUGAUCCCCAUCCAUUUGUAGGUGCUUAUUAAAUGUUGAUGAAUACAUGGGCAAAAGGACACAUGAACAAAUGAAUGAAUGAAUGAAUGAGCAAAACAAAGCAACAAGGAUCAAAUGAAUGGUAUAGGUAAGUAAUGCAUUAAGAACUGAACGGAGGAAAGACCAGUUCCUUGGAAGUUGCAGGUAGUUCAGAUCAUCUCCCCUUCUUGAUGACAUCUCCGUAUGUUCAGGGUAAUAAUAAUAAUAUUAUAAUAAUGGCUAAUAUACAAAGGGUACUUGGCAUGUGCCUUCGAUCGUUCUACACACUUGACAUAUAAUUACUCUUUUAAUCCUGGAAAAAAUUUAAAAAAACAAAAAACAAGCCCAAGGAGGAAACUGGGGUGCAGAGAAGUUAAGGAACUUUUGGAACUUCACAAAGCAAGUGGCAGAGCCAGGAUUUGAACUCAGGCAGUCUGGAUCCACAGCCAUGCAGUUUUAAAACUGAAUAUUCACUUAAGAUUUGUGCAUUUCACUAUAUGUAAAUUAUACUUUCCCCACACCCCUCAAAAAAGAAAUGAGGAAGCAAAUACUAAGUUUGAGUCAAUAAUAAGCAUGCUGAACCAUUUAGAGGUGAAAUGUACUGACGUUUGCAACUUUGAAAGGCAUCAAAAAAUGAGAUGGAUUGAUAAAAAUGUGGCAAGACAAAUAUAGCAAAACAUUAAUUGUAGAAUCUAAGCAGUAGGAAUAUGUUCCCUGUAUAAUUCUUUCAAUUUUUCUCCCUUUGAAUGUUUAAAUAUUAAAAUGUUAAAACAAUAAA